GCGUGAGUGAUGAAGGCUUUCGGGUCGUAAAACUCUGUUGUUAGGGAAGAACAAGUACGAGAGUAACUGCUCGUACCUUGACGGUACCUAACCAGAAAGCCACGGCUAACUACGUGCCAGCAGCCGCGGUAAUACGUAGGUGGCAAGCGUUAUCCGGAAUUAUUGGGCGUAAAGCGCGCGCAGGCGGUUUCUUAAGUCUGAUGUGAAAGCCCACGGCUCAACCGUGGAGGGUCAUUGGAAACUGGGGAACUUGAGUGCAGAAGAGAAAAGCGGAAUUCCACGUGUAGCGGUGAAAUGCGUAGAGAUGUGGAGGAACACCAGUGGCGAAGGCGGCUUUUUGGUCUGUAACUGACGCUGAGGCGCGAAAGCGUGGGGAGCAAACAGGAUUAGAUACCCUGGUAGUCCACGCCGUAAACGAUGAGUGCUAAGUGUUAGAGGGUUUCCGCCCUUUAGUGCUGCAGCUAACGCAUUAAGCACUCCGCCUGGGGAGUACGGUCGCAAGACUGAAACUCAAAGGAAU
rnacentral:rRNA from 1 species